rnacentral:rRNA from 1 species
AGAGUUUGAUCAUGGCUCAGGAUUAACGCUGGCGGCGUGCCUAACACAUGCAAGUCGAGCGGGAAAUUUGAGAGUGAGGCUUCGGCGGAUCUCUCGAAUGGAGAGCGGCGGACGGGUGAGUAACGCGUAGGUAACCUGCCCUGCACAGAGGGAUAGCCACUGGAAACGGUGAUUAAUACCUCAUAAAACUGUUUUGCCGCAUGGUGAAACAGCCAAAGAUUUAUCGGUGCGGGAUGGAUCUGCGUCUGAUUAGCUUGUUGGUGAGGUAACGGCUCACCAAGGCGACGAUCAGUAGCCGACCUGAGAGGGUGAUCGGCCACAUUGGAACUGAGACACGGUCCAAACUCCUACGGGAGGCAGCAGUGGGGAAUAUUGCACAAUGGGCGCAAGCCUGAUGCAGCAACGCCGCGUGAAUGAUGAAGGCUUUUGGGUCGUAAAAUUCUGUUCUCAGGGAAGAAAAAAAUGACUGUACCUGAGGAGAAAGCCCCGGCUAACUACGUGCCAGCAGCCGCGGUAAUACGGAAGGUCCAGGCGUUAUCCGGAUUUAUUGGGUUUAAAGGGAGCGCAGGCGGGCUGUCAAGCGUGCCGCGAAAUCGCGGGGCUCAACCCCGUUGAGCGGUACGAACUGGCGGUCUUGGUUGCGGGAAGGGGAGGCGGAACUCGUGGUGUAGCGGUGAAAUGCAUAGAUAUCACGAAGAACUCCGAUCGCGAAGGCAGCCUCCCGGCCCGUCAACGACGCUCAUGCUCGAAGGCGCGGGUAUCAAACAGGAUUAGAUACCCUGGUAGUCCGCGCAGUAAACGAUGGACACUCGCGGUUUGGCCCUUGUGGCUGAGCCGCCCAGCGAAAGCGUUAAGUGUCCCACCUGGGGAGUACGCCGGCAACGGUGAAACUCAAAGGAAUUGACGGGGGCCCGCACAAGCGGAGGAACAUGUGGUUUAAUUCGAUGAUACGCGAGGAACCUUACCCGGGCUUGAAAUGUGCAUGACGGGAGGCAGAGACGCCUCCUUCCUUCGGGCAUGCAUGUAGGUGCUGCAUGGUUGUCGUCAGCUCGUGCCGUGAGGUGUCGGCUUAAGUGCCAUAACGAGCGCAACCCCUUCCGCCGGUUACCAUCGGGUCAUGCCGGGGACUCCGGCGGCACUGCCGCCGCAAGGCGCGAGGAAGGCGGGGAUGACGUCAAAUCAUCAUGCCCCUUAUGAUUUGGGCUACACACGUGCUACAAUGUCGUAAACAAAGGGACGCGAACCUGCGAAGGCAAGCAAAUCUCAAAAAUAACGACCCAGUUCGGACUGCAGUCUGCAACUCGACUGCACGAAGCUGGAAUCGCUAGUAAUCGCAGAUCAGAAUGCUGCGGUGAAUACGUUCCCGGGUCUUGUACACACCGCCCGUCACACCAUGGGAGUCGGAAAUGCCCGAAGUCGGUGACCUAACCGUAAGGAAGGAGCCGCCGAAGGCAGGUCGGAUGACUGGGGUGAAGUCGUAACAAGGUAGCC